UCGUAACAAGGUCUCCGUAGGUGAACCUGCGGAGGGAUCAUUACACAAAUAUGAAGGCGGGCUGGAACCUCUCGGGGUUACAGCCUUGCUGAAUUAUUCACCCUUGUCUUUUGCGUACUUCUUGUUUCCUUGGUGGGUUCGCCCACCACUAGGACAAACAUAAACCUUUUGUAAUUGCAAUCAGCGUCAGUAACAAAUUAAUAAUUACAACUUUCAACAACGGAUCUCUUGGUUCUGGCAUCGAUGAAGAACGCAGCGAAAUGCGAUAAGUAGUGUGAAUUGCAGAAUUCAGUGAAUCAUCGAAUCUUUGAACGCACAUUGCGCCCUUUGGUAUUCCAAAGGGCAUGCCUGUUCGAGCGUCAUUUGUACCCUCAAGCUUUGCUUGGUGUUGGGCGUCUUGUCUCUAGCUUUGCUGGAGACUCGCCUUAAAGUAAUUGGCAGCCGGCCUACUGGUUUCGGAGCGCAGCACAAGUCGCACUCUCUAUCAGCAAAGGUCUAGCAUCCAUUAAGCCUUUUUUUCAACUCUUGACCUCGGAUCAGGUAGGGAUACCCGCUGAACUUAAGCAUAUCA
rnacentral:rRNA from 1 species